rnacentral:rRNA from 1 species
UACGGGGGGGGCAAGUGUUGUUCGGAAUUACUGGGCGUAAAGGGCUCGUAGGUGGCCAACUAAGUCAGACGUGAAAUCCCUCGGCUUAACCGGGGAACUGCGUCUGAUACUGGAUGGCUUGAGAUUGGGAGAGGGAUGCGGAAUUCCAGGUGUAGCGGUGAAAUGCGUAGAUAUCUGGAGGAACACCGGUGGCGAAGGCGGCAUCCUGGACCAACACUGACACUGAGGAGCGAAAGCCAGGGGAGCAAACGGG